rnacentral:rRNA from 1 species
AUUGAACGCUGGCGGAAUGCUUUACACAUGCAAGUCGAACGGCAGCACGGGGCAACCUGGUGGCGAGUGGCGAACGGGUGAGUAAUACAUCGGAACGUGCCCAAUCGUGGGGGAUAACGUAGCGAAAGUUACGCUAAUACCGCAUACGAUCUACGGAUGAAAGCGGGGGAUCGCAAGACCUCGCGCGAAUGGAGCGGCCGAUGUCAGAUUAGGUAGUUGGUGGGGUAAAGGCUCACCAAGCCAACGAUCUGUAGCUGGUCUGAGAGGACGACCAGCCACACUGGAACUGAGACACGGUCCAGACUCCUACGGGAGGCAGCAGUGGGGAAUUUUGGACAAUGGGCGCAAGCCUGAUCCAGCCAUUCCGCGUGCAGGAUGAAGGCCUUCGGGUUGUAAACUGCUUUGUACGGUAACGAAACGGCGAGCUCUAAUACAGUUUGCUAAUGACGGUACCGUAAGAAUAAG